rnacentral:sRNA from 1 species
UGUCGCUUGCUCUACUUAAGCAUGAC